GUAUACCACCCCGAACACGCCUGAUCUUGCUUGCUCUCAGAAGCUAAGCGAGGUCAGGCUGGUUAAUACUUAGAUGCAAAUCAGUGGAAUCACAUUUACU
rnacentral:rRNA from 1 species